CCUACGGGAGGCAGCAGUGGGGAAUAUUGCACAAUGGGGGAAACCCUGAUGCAGCGACGCCGCGUGAGUGAAGAAGUAAUUCGUUAUGUAAAGCUCUAUCAGCAGGGAAGAAGAUGACGGUACCUGAGUAAGAAGCCCCGGCUAACUACGUGCCAGCAGCCGCGGUAAU
rnacentral:rRNA from 1 species